rnacentral:lncRNA from 1 species
UUCUAUUGGUUUUACCUUCUCACCCUUGAUUUCUUUUGCUGACUUUCCACUGUCUAUGUCAACUUCUUCACAAUUUUGUUCGUCUCCGGAAGAAUCUCCAUCCAAAUUAUGAAUCAUGUUUGUAUUGCUUUGAUUUUGAGAGGCAAGUUCUUCCUCUUCUCUUCUUCUUUCUCCAAAAGCCAUGGUUGUUUAUACUUUAUAGUUGGAUUUUUUUUUUUCUUUUCUCUAGUGAAGGAGACGAGAGGCUACUGGCAGCUUAGGA